GGCGUUUCCACGGACGCCCAGGAGACAACCCGUUGCUGAGCCGGGAGCGCUGACUGGCCCGGCUGGACAGGUCUUGACUCGUCUGCUGGACAAAGCCUCUGACCUCAGGCCGGCUGUGAACGUAGUUCCUGAGAGAUAGCAAACAUGCCCAACAGUGAGCCCGCAUCUCUGCUGGAGCUGUUCAACAGCAUCGCCACACAAGGGGAGCUCGUGAGGUCUCUCAAAGCGGGAAAUGCAUCAAAGGAUGAAAUUGAUUCUGCAGUAAAGAUGUUGGUGUCAUUAAAAAUGAGCUACAAAGCUGCCGCGGGGGAGGAUUACAAGGCUGACUGUCCUCCAGGGAACCCAGCACCUACCAGUAAUCAUGGCCCAGAUGCCACAGAAGCUGAAGAGGAUUUUGUGGACCCAUGGACAGUACAGACAAGCAGUGCAAAAGGCAUAGACUACGAUAAGCUCAUUGUUCGGUUUGGAAGUAGUAAAAUUGACAAAGAGCUAAUAAACCGAAUAGAGAGAGCCACCGGCCAAAGACCACACCACUUCCUGCGCAGAGGCAUCUUCUUCUCACACAGAGAUAUGAAUCAGGUUCUUGAUGCCUAUGAAAAUAAGAAGCCAUUUUAUCUGUACACGGGCCGGGGCCCCUCUUCUGAAGCAAUGCAUGUAGGUCACCUCAUUCCAUUUAUUUUCACAAAGUAAGUAUUGGAUCUUAUGGCUUUUCUUACUCUCUUAGUGAAUUGAGAAUGUUGCUUAUAAACCAUGUUUAGAACUGACAAGAUCAUGCUAGUUCAUUUGCUGAGCAACCAAGAUGUCAAGAGUUGGCACUUUUUUGGCUUCCAU
rnacentral:sRNA from 1 species